UUUCAUUCACAAUCAACUGAUACACUGUGUUUAGCCUCAGCAUAGCAAGGCAGUGAUGUCACAGUUCAGAAGUGGAAAGAGACAUGAGGACAUGCUGCUAUAUUAAAAGACAAUAAACCCUUGACCAUUGACCUCUUCUCAGAUGUCUAGCAGCUAGUCCUGUCUGUACACAUAUUCACUUCCAUCACCCCUAACCUGCCAGGUCACGGAUUACUGCUUGUGGAAACAUUUGUAUUUUUAGUAAUCCAUUUUGAAAAUGUUCUCUAGAAAGAUGAUUGCCGUCAUCAUCACGCAUGGGCACCUCUUCCAUUAUUGGAUGUAAAAUGAAUGUAUGAACAUAUUGGAGUUGACUAUGCCAACAAAAGAGGGAUAAGUAUGCCCAGAACUGUCUGCAGUCCAAAUAUUUUAAUGCAUGCAGUGAUCAUGUCUCUUGUGAUUUGUGUUUGUCUGUUUAACCUCCUCUCGUUCCAGUGGCAGGAUGCAGUGCGGAAUGUGCACACCUUGGAUCAAGAGUCAUGACAGAGAGAGAGAAGGAAGGAAGGGAGGGAAAGAGGAAGUGAAGCACAUCCGCCGCAUGCAUCUGGGCUUAGAGGGAUCCUCUUCCUUGGCUGCUGGUCUACGUGUGGAAGGACCAGGAUGCUCAUUGAAGAAUCACGCUGCAGUUUUGGUAGAAUUAAAAUGCUAUCAUUCUGACUUUACAGUAGACACCCGGGGUUUCACCAGAGAGUAAGACUAGCAGGAAAGAAGUACAAUGGGAGUUCACCUAACUGACCACAUCGUCUCAUUCACAACAGACCAUGAACACUCUUCUUCAAUCCUUGUCCCGGAUGCAAAGAGGAUGCAUGGGGGAAAUACAACAGCUGUGGGAGGUGCCCAGUGAUUUACAUAAAAUUUCCAAAGUGCCAGAUUGGCAUAUGAUGAAAUGUCUCGUUUUUUCCAUUCUCUCUCACACUUUCACAGAGAACAUCUCAGAGAAGGCUUUCAAGGGAAGGAUGAACAGAUGAUGAACUUGGGGAAAUUUGCACAAUUGAUCAUUCUGACAGGAUUUAAGAAAAAAUAAUUCUGUCAUUCCAUGGAUGGAUUCUGGUUUAAUAUAUGUCCAAAUAGCUAACAAAAUGUGCACACAAAUUAAAAAAAUUGAAUUAGGAAAGCAGAAUCGAAUGCGCUAAACCGUCAUUUAUCAAGCUUCAAUAAAUCAAUCCGUUUUGAACUGAGAAAUGUGCCA
ensembl:lncRNA